GUUUUUAAUUGUUGCAACUGUUUUGGCUGCCUUUGCACUAGUCAGUGCUGGCCUCACUUACACUUUGAAUCAGCAUGAAAGAACUGUGUUUAUUGAUCAUGAUCAUUAUUAAAUAUAGAUGGUCGAUUGUAUAAGAAAUCUUUGUUAAUGUAAUCAAUCUUUUCUUGCC